CGCACAAGCAGCGGAGCGUGUGGUUUAAUUCGAUGCUACACGAAGAACCUUACCAAGAUUUGACAUGCAUGAAGUAGUGAACCGAAAGGGAAACGACCUGUUAAGUCAGGAGUUUGCACAGGUGCUGCAUGGCUGUCGUCAGCUCGUGCCGUGAGGUGUUUGGUUAAGUCCUGCAACGAGCGCAACCCUUGUUGCUAGUUAAAUUUUCUAGCGAGACUGCCCCGCGAAACGGGGAGGAAGGUGGGGAUGACGUCAAGUCAGCAUGGCCUUUAUAUCUUGGGCUACACACACGCUACAAUGGACAGAACAAUAGGUUGCAACAGUGUGAACUGGAGCUAAUCCCCAAAGCUGUCCUCAGUUCGGAUUGCAGGCUGAAACCCGCCUGCAUGAAGUUGGAGUUGCUAGUAACCGCAUAUCAGCAAGGUGCGGUGAAUACGUUCUCGGGCCUUGUACACACCGCCCGUCACGUCAUGAAAGCCGGUAACACUUGAAGUCGAUGUGCCAACCGCAAGGAGGCAGUCGCCGAGGGUGGGACUGGUAAUUGGGACGAAGUCGUAACAAGGUAGCCGUAGCGGAAGCUGCGGCUGGAUCACCUCCUUU
rnacentral:rRNA from 1 species